AUUUCUUUUUUCUUGUUUUUUCUUUUUUUUUUUUUCUUUCUUCUAUCCUCCUCUUUCCUGCAAACAUG
rnacentral:ribozyme from 1 species